CACGUCAGCGCGAUGUCAGGGGACGUGUCAGCAAAUCGCUUCCUCGUAGGCACGAUUUGUGUCCACGUAAGCAAAUCGUGCUGACGUGGAUGCGAUUUGCUGACACGUCCCCUGACAUCGCGCUGACGUGG
rfam:Gossypium raimondii chromosome 3, whole genome shotgun sequence.